UUUGUGUGAGGGCAACAGAUUAAACGAUGCACGACAGAUUUUCCAACAUCUUUUGGUUAAUGGUCAUCCUUUGAAUGUCCAAGCAUACACUGCUAUGAUCAAAGGACUUUGUAAAGAGCAUUUGUAUGAUGAAGCAAAGGCCUUGUUUCAUAAAAUGCAAGAGAACGGGUGCUCGCCUAAUGUUUUAACUUUUGAAACAAUUAUUAUGCCUCUUUUGGAGAAAGGUGAGAAUGAUGAGGCAAAGAUUCUGAUUGACGAAUUAUUCAUCAAGGUCUCUUGAAAUGAUAAAAGAAGAUGAACGUGCUGCUGCUUGUUCUUGGCAGAAAGCAGUUGGUCGCCAAGCUCCAGAAGUGGUCAUCAUUGAUCUUGACAAGACAUUAAAGACAAUUAUUUUAGAUGUUCUUCCUAAUGCUCAUCACUCUACGUGCUUAUGGCGUGUAUUAGUGAAGGUGUCUGAAAAUCUGGCUCGUGUACUUAAGCAACAUGAGAAUUUUGUGCCAGAAUUUGAAAAAUACAUCUAAAGGACAAAUGAUGAGUUUGAGAAGAGGUGGUGAAAAAUUGUUGAUAGGUUUGAGCUCUGAGAGGGUGAAUGCAUGCAGUCAUUGUAUGACAGUUGUAACGUGAUACAGAAUGCCUGUUGUUUUUUUUAUGGAUUUUGUUAAUAAAUGGUACAAGGUUUUAGUGUUAAAAGAUCUUGAAGA